UACGGAGGGUGCAAGCGUUAUCCGGAUUUACUGGGUUUAAAGGGUGUGUAGGCGGACUUUUAAGUCAGCGGUGAAAUCUCCGGGCUCAACCCGGAAACUGCCAUUGAUACUAUUGGUCUUGAAUGUUGUUGAGGUGGGCGGUACGGGUCAUGUAGCGGUGAAAUGCAUAGAUAUGACCCGGAACACCGAUUGCGAAGGCAGCCCACUAAGCAACGAUUGACGCUGAGGCACGAAAGCGUGGGGAUCAAACAGG
rnacentral:rRNA from 1 species